CUUGCUGUUCCGGAGAAGGAGGAACCCAGGAGAAAGAGGGUAGUAGAGAUACUGAGAGAAUUGAUGGCGGAGAUGAAGAGAAGGUCCCAAUGAAUUUGGAGACAUGUUUGACUGAGAAUGAGUCAGCAAAUGGCACUCUACGGGAAGUUGAGGUUCAGUUGACAACACCUGAUAAGGGUACUGAUGGGUUGGAAGUGCAAAAUGGUGUUUUGGAGAGCUUGCCGAAGGGGAAAAGGGGUAGGAAGAAGAGGAAGCUCUUGGAUGCUGGCAAAGGUGUUACAGAGACAGUGUUGAGAAGAAGUGCUCGCAGAGCGAAAAUAGAAUCCUCUUCUGCUGAAG
rnacentral:misc_RNA from 1 species